AUUAGCCAUGCAUGUCUCAGUACAUGCCGAAUUAAGGUGAAACCGCGAAUGGCUCAUUAAAUCAGUUAUGGUUCAUUAGAUCGUGGACACAUUUACUUGGAUAACUGUGGUAAUUCUAGAGCUAAUACAUGCAAACAGAAUUCCUCUCAGAGAUGGGAGGAAUGCUUUUAUUAGAUCAAAACCAAUCGGUGGCGGACGGCUCGUCCGUUCGUCCAUCGUUUGUUUUGGUGACUCUGAAUAACUUUGUGCUGAUCGCAUGGUCAUCUAGCACCGGCGACGCAUCUUUCAAAUGUCUGCCUUAUCAACUGUCGAUGGUAGGUUCUGCGCCUACCAUGGUUGUAACGGGUAACGGGGAAUCAGGGUUCGAUUCCGGAGAGGGAGCCUGAGAAACAGCUACCACAUCCAAGGAAGGCAGCAGGCGCGCAAAUUACCCACUCCCGGCACGGGGAGGUAGUGACGAAAAAUAACGAUACGGGACUCAUCCGAGGCCCCGUAAUCGGAAUGAGUACACUUUAAAUCCUUUAACGAGGACCAAUUGGAGGGCAAGUCUGGUGCCAGCAGCCGCGGUAAUUCCAGCUCCAAUAGCGUAUAUUAAAGUUGUUGCGGUUAAAAAGCUCGUAGUUGAAUCUGUGUGUCACAGUGUCGGUUCACCGCUCGCGGUGUUUAACUGGCAUUAUGUGGUACGUCCUAUCGGUGGGCUUAGCUCCUUGCGGGCGGUCCAACUAAUAUCCCAUCGCGGUGCUCUUCACUGAGUGUCGAGGUGGGCCGAUACGUUUACUUUGAAAAAAUUAGAGUGCUUAAAGCAGGCUACCUUUGCCUGAAUACUGUGUGCAUGGAAUAAUGGAAUAGGACCUCGGUUCUAUUUUGUUGGUUUUCGGAACCCCGAGGUAAUGAUUAAUAGGGACAGAUGGGGGCAUUCGUAUUGCGACGUUAGAGGUGAAAUUCUUGGAUCGUCGCAAGACGGACAGAAGCGAAAGCAUUUGCCCAAAAAUGUUUUCAUUAAUCAAGAACGAAAGUUAGAGGU
rnacentral:rRNA from 1 species